GAAGUCUAAAGUCAAACACCAUUAAACAGGUUACUGUUGGAUGAUAAAUGUUCCCAGUGGGAAAGUCCAUUCUCCAGUGCCCCAACUGACUGCACAGCCCUGUGUUCUGACCGGGGGAAGGCGAGGCGACUGCCCCAUGUGCCCUCUGAUUUAGGUGAUGCACUAAAACUGGUCCCUGUCUUCUCCCUUUAAUUCAGCAGGAAUUAUGUUCUCUAUUUAUCUAAUGGUUCUUAACAAAUAUGAUAAUACUGUGUAGCCUAUGUUGUAGUGUUGGGAGGAAAUGACAUGCAGCUUAUACUGGUUAAUGGCCUGGCCUGGUGAAGCUGGAAAUUGGCCUUUAUUUAGUAAAGCAGUUUUUUGGGGUGGGCUGAAUGAAGAGCUCUGGAUUAUUUGCUGUUUUCCCCACCUCCCACUUACCUAACAGCUAAAUGAUUCCUGCUUCAAGAACACUGUGGCAUGUUUUACUCUAUACUGUUUAUGAAGUCUUUGGUUCUUAAAUGAUAAUAACAGUUCCAUGUAUUUUAAAAUGUGGGGUCUUGUUUUUCUUGUUUCAGUGACAGAUGGUCAUUUGCUUACCUCUUUGGUAUUUUCCCUUGGGUUGUAGCUACUGGGGCUAAGACCUGGAGAGGGGAGACAUAAUGAAAUGUUUUACCAUUUAGAAAUGAGGAACCUAUGCAAGGUGUCUUGUGCCAGGAUGCUGAAGCCAGCAGGAGUGUGGAAUGUUCAGUGGACCAAACAGAAGACCCUUUUGAUGCAGCAGGGCCAGUUAGCCUUGCAGGAUCUGGGAUUCAGCAGAUGCAAACUAUAUUGUCCUCUUCAGCAGGCAUCUGUUGCCCCCAGAACCAUCUGCUGCUGUUGAUUCUGAUUUUCUGCAAGUACUGAUGGUUUUUAAGAGACUGCUGUUUUGUUUUGUCUGCUGGCUCCUUCUAGGCCAGUUUCUGCCUUGCCCUGGUUUUGUUGUAUGGAGGUUUUACUAAACUGACUUGGAGACUUUUACAGCUAACACUGAGCUGCAAGCAUGGCUGCUCAGCAGGUUUCCCCAAGGUCCCAGUUCACUAAAUGUCAGCUAUCUGUUGCUUGCACAUAAUGCUGUAUUCCAGAAAAUACCCAGGAGUGGGACAGAAUAUUUAUGGAAGCUGGACAUGCAGAUCAUGGGCACUCCUCCAUAUAUUGUUGUGGUAAAUUCCUCACCUCCUUUAUUGUCUUCAGUCAGUGUGCCCAAGAGCUCUGGCAGGAACUGAAGCAGGGAAGUGCUUCCUAGGCUGCCCAGCCUCUCCAGGUUUAAUCUUGGAUCUUCAUCUGCUGCAAAUGGAAGAUGACAAACAAGCAUACAGUUACGUAGAGGAAGGCUUAAGAAGAUGCUGGCUUAGUGAGUCCAAGAUGUUCAAAGCAAGCUAGGGACUACUGAUACCUAUAAACCAGCACAACAGCUGUUGUACCUGAAAACCAGUAUCAAAGAGAGAAGACUAACUGGACUGGUCCCUCAUCUUCAUUCUCUGUGAAGCAUCAUAUCCAACUGUAUAGAGCCUUGUAAGUAAGUUAUGACAAUUUUGUUUCCUUCAGGUGGUGAGAAGGUUAUGGCUGUUCAGGUUCAAAAGAAAUUAAAGUUUAGGUAAUUUUCUUUCUUGCCUCUCUAAUCAAACAUGCCUUCAAAUGCUCUUUAAUAUACAGUAAAAUCCAACUAAUGUUACUGAAGUUCUUUCCCUCUGCUGAAUUAUGUGAUUAUUUUAAGUUGCAAAAGGAGUGAUCUGCUUGCUUUUUCCUUCAUUAACAUUUCCUGUUGAAGAUUAAUUUUUAUGUUAUAAAUUCUGUGACUCCUAGGGUUAAUUGCAGGUUCACUACAACCGGCAUCUAGAACAGGGCUAUUUCUGCUGCAAGUCUAAUUCAGAGAGCACACCCCAUGUUAACAGGUUGUCCAGAGAAGCUGCAGACUCUGUCAAUCUGGAACUCUUCUAUUCUAACCUCCCCUGCUCAAAUCAGGGUCAUCCAGAGCAGUUUGCCCAGGAGUGUAUCCAGUCAGGUUUAACAGCUCCAGGGAUGGAAGGGGACUGAAUUUCAAACCAAGGCUUUGUCAAGGCCGUGGGCAUCCCCAUGUAAGUUCAAAUGUUCUGCUUUGAGUGUAAAGGUGGGAGAGGUAAGAGAGGACCUGCUGAGGUCCUUUUAACCUAAACUUCUCUGCAUCCUGUGUGUACAGAGGUCUAAUACUGACUUACAGGACAUAUGCUGCAUGUGUCUGAACUACAGAUCCUGUUUCUUGGGACUUCUCUUUGCUGAAGUGAAUGGAUAUGACAAAAUAAUUUCUCUACAGAAUUAACCUAAUUCCUAUAUUUUAUGCACCUCUUUCCCUGUGUGUUCCUAUGAGAGAAGUAUCAAGAAAGGAAUUCUCUCUCCUCAUCUGAGUCAUGCAACUCUUCAUUCCAAAACUGCAGACAGUAAUUAGGUCUGAUUUGAUGCAUGAUCUCACUGUUGGUGCUGGAUGCCCUGUACAAUGCUUCUCCUUCAGUGAACUGUCAAUGACAAUGGCAUUGUCAAUAUUCACUCCGAGCAUCCUCCAAGGAAAGCUAAUGAAGCACUCUUCACAAGCAACUGAUGUCCUUUAUCUUCUGUCAAGGAAGACUCAGUCUCUUAGAGCCAUCAUGAAGUGCGUCAUGUGGAAGUCGGGCAGCUUGCCCACAGCUUAUUGCCUUUACUCAGAUUUGAAAUGGUCACUUAGACACUCUUUCCUCUACCAAAAUGUCAAAGGCAUUUUCCUCAGGGGACAGUGCACACGUCAUCAUGCAAAGCAAAGAAACAGCUCAUCCUAAACAAAGGGAUGGAAGGAUGCUCAGCCAUCUGUUCCUGAUGCAGAGCUAAGACAAACCUGUGGGAUGGAGAACCUCCUUUGACAGACUCUGAAGAGAGCACUGUAUCAAGGAAGGCUUGUUCAUAGCUGAGAGUAACUGAGGUAACAUUUGGUGAUGGAAUAAGGCUUUGAAUUAUUUUAAUAGUGAAACUUACCUUGACUUUUAGUCACCUGUUUAAAAUGCAAGCAAGAGUGGUACAGGUUCCCUGUUUAAUACUAUUUCCCAUGUGUUAAUUGUCUUCAGAGUGGACCUCUUCUAUGGAGGUUUUCACAUUGUUAAUCUUAGUAUCAGAAUGAUUAUCAAAAAAGACAAUGCUUCUAUGAAGGAUCUGAUAGGAAGACUGAAAAUAAGACAUAUUCUGCUUUGAAAAAAUGAUAUGAUGUUUGUGUGUUUGAGAGGUUAUUAUUGUUUCAGUGUCUCAAUCAUCCAGGUGCAGAAGCAUGCCUGUAGAAGAGAGGGAGGUGAGGGGCAGAAACCUUUCUGUUUUCCUUACCCACACAACUCUUUCAAGAAAUUACAAAGCCAAGACUUGCAACAAACAGUUUUGAUGUCAGUAAGUGUGCUAAGAAAUGGUGCCAGUUCUGGAAGCAAUAAAAAAGCAGCAGGCUCCCCUGCUUAAACUUAUCUAUAAAGAGGAUUUGUCUCCUUUUUCCAUGCCUUCAGAACUCCACCUGACAUCACCCGGGCCUCUGCACAGUCUGGCUAAGAGGACAUUUUCUGGCUUCCAAGAAAAACAAAUGGAAAUGCAAAAACUUGCAUCUGGCCUGUUACCUCAUCCCCAACCACCAGGGUGGUUUCGGAGUCAUCCUGGCAUUCCUGGUUCCUUUUUUACUUGCUAUAU